ACAGCAGCCGCCGCGGUAAUACGUAGGUGGCAAGCGUUGUCCGGAAUUAUUGGGCGUAAAGGGCUCGUAGGUGGUUUGUCGCGUCGUCUGUGAAAUUCUGGGGCUUAACUCCGGGCGUGCAGGCGAUACGGGCAUAACUUGAGUGCUGUAGGGGUAACUGGAAUUCCUGGUGUAGCGGUGAAAUGCGCAGAUAUCAGGAGGAACACCGAUGGCGAAGGCAGGUUACUGGGCAGUUACUGACGCUGAGGAGCGAAAGCAUGGGUAGCGAACAGGAUUAGAUACCCGUGUAGUCCCUGUCUCUUAUA
rnacentral:rRNA from 1 species